rnacentral:tRNA from 1 species
GAAGGUAUAGCUCAGUGGUAGAGUGCAUGCUUAGCACGCACAAAGUCCUGGGUUCAAUCUCUGGUACCACCA